GCCUUUCAUUGGGGAUUUUGUUACAGGAAUCGACAUCUCGACACCUCUCUCUUACACACCACUUUUCACUAACCCGAUAAGCACGACUGGCUAUUCUGCUGCAGGUGAAUUUUCCACUGAUUAUUUUAUAGCUGUAAAAGGGAUCGAGGUAGAGGGCGAAAGAGUCGUGAUAAAUGAAGCAUUACUAUCCAUUAACAAGAAAAAUGGGAUUGGAGGAACAAAAAUCAGCACUCUAGUUCCUUACACUACCAUGGAGACAUCUAUAUUCAAGGCCUUUACUAGUCUAUAUAUUAAAAAGUCUAAAGAAGUGAAUAUGGCCACGGUUCCUCCAGUGGCGCCUUUUAAUGUCUGUUUUAAUUCAUCGACGUUGAUAAAGAUUAAUCCGAGAAUAGGAGUUCUUGUGCCAAGAAUCGAUCUGGUCUUGCCGAACAAUACAAGUUUUGGGUUCUUUGGACCGAGAAAUACUGUGAUACGUAUUAAUGAUGAAGUUACUUGUUUGGGAUUUGUUGAUGGAGGUUUAAAUCCGAGGACUUCGAUUGUUAUUGGUGGGCUUCAGUUGGAAGAAAAUCUUUUACAGUUCGAUAUUCCAAGAUCAAGAUUAGGAUUUAGUUCAACACUGUUGUUUAGGCCAACUAGUUGUUCCUACUUCAAAUCUCAAUUUUAAGGCCGAUUCAACUAUUAAGCUAUGGGAAUCCUGUAAAUCUCCCUCAGGUAUCUUCAAAGGGGCUUGGUGCAUCCCAGCAGUAGCAGAAGAUGCAGAGCAGGCAGAAGCAUUGGCUCUACUUGAAGCAAUUCAAAUAGCAAAAAGAGCUGGACUGACUAAGGUUCAUCUGGAAGGAGAUUGUGUCAAUGUAAUCAAUGCACUGACUGGAAGUUUAGGAUCAAUUAGAUGGAAAAAUAAUACAAUAAUCAGAGAUUGUAAUGAAUUAUUAAAAGUUUUCAAUAAUUGGGUGAUUAGGUAUGUACCAAGAGGAACAAAUUGUGUUGCAGAUUUGUUAGCAAAAGAUGCAAUUAGUAUGGCAUCUAGCUCUUGUUGGUCCAAUGAAGCUCCUAUGUGGCUUGACUCUCUUAUUAAAGAGAAACUAUGUGUUCAAGAAAUUUAAUUUUAAUGAAAUUCAUCUUUCCUA